CCCCAGGCCCUACGGGGCGCAGCAGGCGCGAAACCUCCGCAAUGCACGAAAGUGCGACGGGGGGACCCCAAGUGCUCAUGCACAGCAUGGGCUUUUAUCAAGUGUAAACAGCUUGAGGAAUAAGGGCUGGGCAAGUUCGGUGCCAGCAGCCGCGGUAAUACCGACGGCCCGAGUGGUAGCCACUCUUAUUGGGCCUAAAGCGUCCGUAGCCGGUCCAGUAAGUCCCUGUUUAAAUCCUGCGGCUUAACCGCAGGACUGGCAGGGAUACUGCUGGACUUGGGACCGGGAGAGGACAAGGGUACUCCAGGGGUAGCGGUGAAAUGUGUUGAUCCUUGGAGGACCACCUAUGGCGAAGGCACUUGUCUGGAACGGGUCCGACGGUGAGGGACGAAAGCCAGGGGCGCGAACCGGAUUAGAUACCCGGGUAGUCCUGGCCGUAAACUCUGCGAACUAGGUGUUAGGUAGGCCUCGUGCCUAUCUAGUGCCGAAGGGAAGCCGUUAAGUUCGCCGCCUGGGGAGUACGGUCGCAAGACUGAAACUUAA
rnacentral:rRNA from 1 species